GUGUCUCUCUCCCGCUCAGGAUCUCGCGCUGGUCGUUAAGUCACGUCGAGUUGUCCUGUGCGGAACCGGAGGUCCUGUCACCCGCCCUGACCGUGAGCCCUGGAAACCACACGGAGCGGCGCCGCCCAGCGGAGCAGCAGCAGCAGCAGCAGCAUCCCCUGCAGGAGCGGUGUGAGAGACCCAAAGCAGUUGAUUUCGUGAGACAUCAUCAUCAGUUUGGGGUGUCUCUCCGAUAGGCCAAUGCAGCUGUGGCUCAGCUGCGAAUGAAGUAUCCUUGCAGUCCGGUCGGGGGAGGAUCACUCGACUCACAAGAAACAGAAAAUGACACCCUUGAGGACAAAGAGCUGACUAUCUUCCUGUUCACUUGAGCUCUGUGAAGCGGUGGGGAGUUGGCAUUGGUUUCCAAGGCAUGUCAUAGCAUAUCAGAUGCUGUCCACACAAGAGCCAUCGUUCAUGUGACAAUAUGAAAUGGUGAAGCAAAUAUGUUGUCUUCUGGAUUAACAUCUGCCAGACUUUAGACUAUGCCAUCAUUUCAUAAACUUUUGUUAACUCCAGCAAUUUCAGUAAGAAGGAAACAGCAGAAAUUCCAGAACUUCUGAAAUCAUUCUAAACUUAACAGGCGGAAAAGAAUAGCAACGUAUAACAACUGUUGAGAAGAAUAACAACGUAUAACAACUGUCAAAUAAAGUGCACAACUCAGCUGUCCAUCAUCAUCUUUGACUUUGUGAUCAAAAUACUCAAGCAAGAGGUUUCAGGUCUGAAUCAAGACACUUUCCAUUGAUGCAAGACUUUUGCUUGCUGUUCUGGAGUUCUAUCAACUGAUUCCAUCGAA